GUUUUAAUAGUUUAAUUAUAAAAUAAUGAUCUUGUAAAUCAUAGAUAGGAUAUCUUUAAAACU
rnacentral:tRNA from 1 species